GUGGCCCAACGGCGGUCGGCGGAAACGUCUGUACUGCCGGUUUUCGGACUACCUCUUUCUGGGGGAACGUCGGCCCUUAACUGGGCUCGGCGGGUAACCAGGACGUUUACUUUGAAAAAAUUAGAGUGUUUAAAGCAAGCGUACGCUUGAAUACAUUAGCAUGGAAUAAUAGAAUAAGACUUUGGUUUUAUUUUGUUGGUUAUAAAGCUAAAGUA
rnacentral:rRNA from 1 species